AGUUUGAGCUGGUAAUGCUCAUUCUGACCAUCUUUCUCUUAUUGCCCUGAACUGGACCUCUCAUCCCUUCAAACCUCGCUCUCUCCCCAAUAUGACCUAAACAGACACAAUAAAAGGGAAAAAUAGGGCCAAAUGGCCCAAAAGUCGAAGACGCAUCAAUCAUGAAGCAAACACUGGAAGACAUAUUGGUAUUAAGAGAUCAAACACAUAAUUUCAAUCAACUAUACAAAUCCUACAAUUAGAAAAGAAACUUAGCAGACAUAAUUAAAUAAAUUAAAGACAAAAAUAAAAUUAAAAUAACUGAAUUAAAUAAAUUGACAAAACCUUGAAAUGAAUUUAGUGUAACAAUCUUGAAUCUUCAAUUCUUUGUGGAAAACCAAAUCUCAGCUUUAAAACUAAGCUUUAAAACUAAGAAAACAAUUAAGUCUCAAACUAGGAAUAUGAUCUGGAACCCUCAGACUCGAAUAUAUACUAUGAAUUUAACAUGAAAUUAGGUCAAACACGGUUGAAAUUGGCAACCAUACCAGUAGGCCGCUGAAAUUACACUAAAAAGUCUAAGAAAAUAGGCGAUCAUCAUGCAGAUAGCCGUUUCUCACAUAAAUUCCAAAAUAAUUGGCAAUCGCUUCGGCAAUCUCCGAAAUUGUUCAUGCGUCUAUCACAAAAUAGGCGGCCGCCGUUUUCUCUCUUCUUUUGUUCUUUCUUCAUUUCUUCCUUCGUUUCUCACGCCCGUUUCUCUCCAUUCUUGAUCCUUGGGCGUAGUUUAUGUACACUACUACUCCAACACACUCAAUUCUACAUCAAAUGGACAAAACUAUACACAAACGUGACA
rnacentral:lncRNA from 1 species